rnacentral:tRNA from 1 species
GGUGGGAUGGCCCAGUGGUUAGGGUGCUAGCAUAGAGCUGGGUGACCAGGGCUCAAUUCCCUGUUCUGCCA